GGGAUUGUAGUUCGAUUGGUCUGAGCACCGCCCUAUUAAAGCGGAAGCUGCGGGUUCGGGCCCUGUAAGUUCCG
rnacentral:tRNA from 1 species